GUCCGAGUAGUAUAAACUUAGAGCCUUUUGGUGGAUGCGGUGUCGAUUGAAACAUUGUGGCAAGCAGAGGCGAGCCACGGAAAAUAGGCUGCCCAGAUAUGAGGGACUCUGGUGGUGAAAAGGAGUCCCUCAGGACUUUAUUUCAGAAAUGCUUAUAUUGACUAGAUCUUAUGGUCAUCGUGCUUUGGGCUUUUGUUUUUUUUUCUUCUCAACUUUAUUCCUAAAAUUUACAAAAAGUCUACUAAAAUACUGGGGAAAUGACUCAUUCAUUCUGUUGGCAUAAUCAGUUUUGUGCAAGCUUUGAAGAGAUAUGGUUCUUGAUGUUAUAAGUUUGUGGUUUAACAUUUAUUCCUUCAGCUGGUGACUGUUUUGUGUCUGUUUCAGAUAGAGCUUUCUGUUGGUUGUGUCCUUACAGUUUCUGUCUUAGUGCUUUCUGUUAACUACAGUUUUGUAGUAUACAAUGAAACAGUGAAUGGAGGCUUGAAAUUGUGAAGGGAUGCUGGAAAAUGAAAGACAUGCAUGCUUUGCUGCACUAAAAUCUUAACUGAAAUCUUACUCUAGGUUAUCUAUUCCCAGGAGAAGAACCUCAUCUGGAUUGGGGUGUGCCUUAAGCCUGCAGUGUUUAACUUGCUGCUGAUAUAAUUCAGAAUCUAGAUUCUGGCUCAGUUUAGAAUAAAACUCACGCUGGUAUGAGGGAAUUAUUUAGCUAGUGUUUUUCUGUGACCCUUACCACAAUUAAUCCUGUAGCAGUAGAAAGCUUUUUUCUAAAACAAAAAGACUAGGAAAAAAAAUUCUAGGGCAGAUGGACCACAUGAGAUAAUGCAUUGUAGAGUGUGAAUGGGUGCGGAGUUGAUGAGAAGAAAAGCAGCAUAAGGCAAACUAUAGGCAGAUCAAAGUAAUUGGUUUGAGUACCUCUGCACACCACAAAGUGGAGGAGGGACUUCCCUCUUCAGUGUGUUGGCUCCUGGUGAUAUUCUUGUAUUCCUGUUUUGCCUCUGUACUACUUCCAAUUAUACCUUAACUUUCCCUGUCCGAUCUUGCUGGUCUGAUGAUCCCUUGUAGAUAUUCUGCUGUCAUCUUCAGCCCAGUUUAGCUGAAAUACAAAUCUUUGCUUGCUCUUUCACGCUGACUGGUGACUGGAAACCAUACUAUUUGCUUUAUUCUGGAUUUGUAGUUUUGUUGCUGUUCUUAUUCAGUAUGAGAAGUGAUUGGAAGGAGAGAAGUAGCAUUUCCUACAGAGGAGGGUGACAGGGUGAAACUUAGUCCAGCUGAAGUUAAGAGGGGGAAAAUAAACAAGAAGUCAUAGAAGAAGCCAGCUGAAAAGUGACAAGGACUGACUUAAUCAGAGACAGAUCUCUCUGCUGCCCUUGUUCCCCACCCAGGAAAUCUGUUUUGCUGGUCCACCAUAGUCAUCAAGGAAAGAAAUGCUUUCCACUGAUAAACCUCAAGGCUAGUGAAAAGAAAGGGAAUAAUUUAAAGAUAUUGCAGAAGCUGGCAGGAGGGUUAAGUGGUACAUUUGUUCUCCAUUCACUUGUUUGUCCCACAAGAGACAAUUUCUUAUCAUGUUAUUGAAGAUUAUUUCCCGGGAUGUUUUCAAUUUCUUUUAAAACCCUUAACCCUUAUUCUCCAUGCCAAUGGAUACAAAUUAAAACAAGCAUCUUGUCAAGCAUCCUGUCCUC